rnacentral:lncRNA from 1 species
UCGUGGUUUCGGACUUAAAUGCUGUGGAGGCUUCGUCCCGGGUUUCAUUGUUUCUCGUGUUUUUCGCUGCAGCAAGGCCCUAUCGUGCAUCAUUGUGGAUUCACCGGCUCCUGUCAAAGGAUUGCACGACUUACAGGGGUGUGAUUGGAUGGAAGGCUGAGCAGCAUACCCAGAGAUGUAGCGCUGCUGCUUAAAUCGAUCGGUCUUAUGCUCGAACACUGGGAAUGACUCAGUGCUGGAUUGCAGUUUGAAAAUAACACAACCAGAGACCAGCCUUGGUGACAAGGAUGCUGCAUCGGUCGGUCUUAUACCCCAAGUGGUAGCCUACUUCCAAGAUGAUCUCAGCCAACUCAUACAAAUGCAUCAGAUUCCACAACGGUUUCCUUGUGAAGCUGCCCAGCCAAGGAGGUGCUGCAGCUGGGAAGUCCUCCUCCAAUGAAGAAUACUAUCAUUUUGGUUAACACAACAGGCGGCGUUUUUUUCGUUCAUUGCAAACUUUGCAGUCUGGUAUUGAGCAAUGUUGUUUUGUUUAAACUUCUGCAGUGGCCACAGUUCCAAAAGUCGCUUAAGCUCGAAAAUGAACUAUUCUUCUGCGACUGGAUUAGGCAUUCCAUCCCACUGUAGAUUUGCAGCUUCCACGUCUGCCGGUGGGCAUUCCCCUGUCGUGUCAAGACAAGCGCCGCUUCUCUUGUAAGGUGAUAAUAAUACUUUUUUCGUACUCGGAGAGUCAAAAUGUAGUCCAGGCAUACAGGGUGACAGAAGGUAGAAUGCCUAUACCGGAGUGGU